UAGGGAAUCUUCGGCAAUGGGGGGAACCCUGACCGAGCAACGCCGCGUGAGUGAAGAAGGUUUUCGGAUCGUAAAGCUCUGUUGUUAAGGAAGAACGAGUGUGAGAAUGGAAAGUUCAUGCUGUGACGGUACUAAACCAGAAAGGGACGGCUAACUACGUGCCAGCAGCCGCGGUAAUACGUAGGUCCCGAGCGUUGUCCGGAUUUAUUGGGCGUAAAGCGAGCGCAGGCGGUUAGAAAAGUCUGAAGUGAAAGGCAGUGGCUCAACCAUUGUAGGCUUUGGAAACUGUUUAACUUGAGUGCAGAAGGGGAGAGUGGAAUUCCAUGUGUAGCGGUGAAAUGCGUAGAUAUAUGGAGGAACACCGGUGGCGAAAGCGGCUCUCUGGUCUGUAACUGACGCUGAGGCUCGAAAGCGUGGGGAGCGAACAGG
rnacentral:rRNA from 1 species